AAAUGAAUAGACGGGGACCCGCACAAGCGGUGGAACAUGUGGUUUAAUUCGAAGCAACGCGAAGAACCUUACCAGGGCUUGACAUCUGACGAACCUCGAUGAAAGUUGAGGGUGCUCUUCGGAGAGCGUCAAGACAGGUGGUGCACGGUUGUCGUCAGCUCGUGUCGUGAGAUGUUGGGUUAAGUCCCGCAACGAGCGCAACCCACGUUGUCAGUUGGUACUGUCGGUAUACUUACAGUAACCUCUCUGGCGAGACUGCCGGUGAUAAACCGGAGGAAGGUGUGGACGACGUCAAAUCAUCAUGCCCCUUAUGCUCUGGGCUACACACGUGUUACAAUGGCUGGUACAACGAGUCGCCAACUCGCGAGAGUGAGCAAAUCUCUAAAAGCCAGUCUCAGUUCGGAUUGCACUCUGCAACUCGAGUGCAUGAAGUCGGAAUCGCUAGUAAACGCAGAUCAGCACGCUGCGUUGAAUACGUUCCCGGGUCUUGUACACACCGCCCGU
rnacentral:rRNA from 1 species